rnacentral:rRNA from 1 species
AUUGAACGCUGGCGGCAGGCCUAACACAUGCAAGUCGAGCGAGCGGCGGACGGGUGAUUAAUGUAUGUCGAUCUGCUCGUUAGAGGGGGAGAACUCCUGGAGGCGGUAGUUCAUACUGCAUACUAUCGGAUGAACGCAUAUUGGAUUAGCUAGUUGGUGAGGUAAAGGCCCACCAAGUCGACGAUCACUAGCUGGUCUGAGAGGAUGAUCAGCCACACUGGGACUGAGACACGGCCCAGACUCCUACGGGAGGCAGCAGUGGGGAAUAUUGCACAAUGGGCGAAAGCCUGAUGCAGCCAUGCCGCGUGUAUGAAGAAGGCCCUAGGGUUGUAAAGUACUUUCAGUCGGGAGGCGUUACCGACAGAAGAAGCACCGGCUAACUCCGUGCCAGCAGCCGCGGUAAUUC